rnacentral:lncRNA from 1 species
UUUACUUGUUGGUAUGUCUAGAAGUGGAGAAAUCAGUAUGUCUUCAAUAGGGAAGAUUUGCCUUUCUACUCGCAAACUAGCAUCUUGACUACUGCUAAAGAUUGGUUCUUUAAUGUGUAUGUGUCUAAGGCCAAAACUACUAAGAUUCAGGUGUCGCUUGCCUAGGAACCUCCUGAGACAGGGGUUUUUAAAUUUAAUGUUGAUGGAUCUCGAAAGAAUGGCUCUGGGGCUAUUUGUGCGGGGGGCAUGAUCCGUGAUUCCUUUGGUGCUU